rnacentral:rRNA from 1 species
AUUGAACGCUGGCGGCACGCCUAACACAUGCAAGUCGAGCGGCAGCGCGAUAUGUAGCAAUACAUAUUGGCGGCGAGCGGCGGACGGGUGAGGAACACGUAGGAACCUACCCUCGAGUGGGGGAUAACCAAGGGAAACUUUGGCUAAUACCGCAUGACUUCGAGAGAGCAAAGCUGCCGCAAGGUGGCGCUCGAGGAGGGGCCUGCGUCCGAUUAACUAGUUGGUGAGGUAAGAGCUCACCAAGGCGAUGAUCGGUAACUGGUCUGAGAGGACGACCAGUCACACUGGGACUGAGACACGGCCCAGACUCCUACGGGAGGCAGCAGUGGGGAAUAUUGGACAAUGGGGGCAACCCUGAUCCAGCGAUGCCGCGUGAGUGAAGAAGGCCUUUGGGUCGUAAAGCUCUUUAGGUUGGGAUGAAGAGUGAUGGAGGAAAUGCUAUCACUUUGACGGUACCGACAGAAUAAGCACCGGCAAACUCUGUGCCAGCAGCCGCAGUAACAC